GCGAGCAGCUGUCAUACUCCAGCCGUGGUGCAGGAUGCUCUCUGUACAUGUCCUCCCUCUACACAAACAGAACACAGUCAGUAGCUCUUUGUGGUGUUUCCAUCACACCUGCUCCUACACAGCUUCUAAUGCUCUGUGCUUGCCCGGCUCCACCACUGUCACCUCCCACCCAAAUCUACUACUGGCCUGGAACACCUUCCUGCUGUUUCACAAAAACUCUCUAAAUUUCAUCGCUUGUGGGGUAGAGCAAGUGAAUCUAUGGGGAGACAGUGUUCUAGAGGACCAGCUAAGCCAAGGUAUUUCUCUCCCUACAUCCACAAUGACUGAUUACUGUAGACACUGUAUAAUUUAAGGGGAAUUAUGGAUGAUUCUCCCUUCUGCUGCCUCAAAUAUAACAACCAAUCUUACCAUUCUUCCCCAACUAGUUUGUGACUAAUUCAAAUCUGCAACUAAAGUUUCAUUCAUUGUGCAGUGAAAAUUCAAAUCCAGAUUUUAAAUUUGUAAGAACCUGAGAAAGACAACACAUUAGAUUACUAUCAAUCACCAGAGGAGUAUUGUGAGAAAAAUAGGAUCCUGGAAUAGGGUUUGGAACUAAGGUACAAAGAGAGAAGGAAAAAAGUUCAGCGCAGACUAUGUCUCCAAGUUCUUUUCUGAAAUGUCUGUGUUUCAAAACUUUGAGCCAACUUCAUAUGGAAUAAAAUGUUUAUAGAUAUUUAGGUUCAACAGAGACCACUCAAGAACAAAAAAUUGUGUGUGAAGUCAAGAGGAGAGGAUGCAACAAGGAGGAAAAAAAAUGGCAGUGCCUGGUAUUGCAUAAAAGUACACAUAUUUGAAUUGUGCUACCCACCAAAUCACUCUGCCUUUUAAUGCCAGAAAAAUGAAAAGACCCCUCCAGAUAGUCAACACAGAAGAUCUUUGUAACAUAUUGUAAGAAGCUUCAGACAGGGACCAGAGACAGAAAAAUAAAUAUAGAAGUUUAAGUGAAGUCGGUUUUAUCCAGGGACAUCAGCUCAGCAGGGAUGAGACAUGAAACAGGCCUACAGUUCAAACACACCACUGAGUAUUCCAGACUAUUUCCUGGAGUGAGCUUCUUUAUUAUAAAUACUUUAGAAAUACAAAUAUACAUACCUUUUGCUAAUGUCACUUUAUUUCUGGACUCUGCUUUACAAAGACUCUGAAACCACGAUGUGUUUGGUUAGAAAGAA